rnacentral:rRNA from 1 species
GCUUACGGCCAUACCAGCCUGGGUACGCCCGAUCUCGUCUGAUGUCGGAAGCUAAGCAGGGUCGGGCCUGGUUAGUACUUGGAUGGGAGACCGCCUGGGAAUACCAGGUGCUGUAACCA